rnacentral:rRNA from 1 species
GGUUAACGCUGGCGGCGUGCCUAACACAUGCAAGUCGAACGGUUCUAAGCGCGAGCUUAGGAUAGUGGCGAACGGGUGAGUAAAAGGUAGGAAUCUACCCCUUGGACGGAGAUAGCUACUGGAAACGGUAGGUAAACUUCGAUAAGCCCGAGAGGGGAAAGUGGUGAGACAGCCGAGGGAUGAGCCUACUCUCCAUCAGGUAGUUGGUGAGAUAAAAGCUUACCAAGCCGAUGACGGAUAACCGGUGUGAGAGCAUGAACGGUCACAAGGGCACUGAGAGACGGGCCCUACUCCUACGGGAGGCAGCAGUGGGGAAUCUUGGACAAUGGGCGAAAGCCUGAUCCAGCGACGCCGCGUGGAGGAAGAAGUCCUUCGGGAUGUAAACUUCUGAACUAGCCGAAUAAAAGGACCUGUGGACACACAGGAGAAGAAAGUAGGCUAGGAAAAGUCCCGGCGUAACUACGUGCCAGCAGCCGCGGUAAGGCUACGUAGA